rnacentral:rRNA from 1 species
CCCUAGUGGCGGACGGGUGAGUAACGCGUGGGUAACCUGCCAUAUACAGGGGGAUAACACUUAGAAAUAGGUGCUAAUACCGCAUAAGCGCACAGGGGCGCAUGCCCCGGUGUGAAAAACUCCGGUGGUACAGGAUGGACCCGCGUCUGAUUAGCUGGUUGGCGGGGUAACGGCCCACCAAGGCGACGAUCAGUAGCCGGCCUGAGAGGGUGAACGGCCACAUUGGGACUGAGACACGGCCCAAACUCCUACGGAAGGCAGCAG